rnacentral:tRNA from 4 species
GUGCCCGUAGCUCAAUUGGAUAGAGUACUUGAUUCCGAUUCAAGCGGUUGCAGGUUCAAGUCCUGUCGGGUGCGCCA